ensembl:lncRNA
GGAGAGUCUGAGGAGGUGAGACCCUGCUUAGAGAGUCUCUGCAGUCGGCUCUCUGCAGGUGAGACUCCCAGUUGGUUGGUUUAAAACAGAGGAUGCACGGUUUUGUUGAAGAAACUUCCAUGAGAGAACUUUGUGGUUCUAACACUGUACGCCGGGGAACUGAACGACGGGAAUCAAAGCACGGGCUGGUCACCGGGAGACGAGGUGUCGGUGCGGCGCUUCACAGAGAGAGAGAGAGAGAGAGAGCUGUUCGUCUACUGUGGCUGUGGACCUGCGGUUGUGUUAUUUGACUUCAUCUACAUGUUGGCCCUUGAGGCACAUACCUCAUCUCUUGAGGUCCUCCAUGUCUCUUCCCCGAUUCCCUCUGGGAUUGGAGAGUUGUUCCAUGCU